UGCUGGAGGGGAGGGAGUGGGAGAGGAAUACCAUGCAGUGAGAGAAUGGCACACAGUAAGAGAGGGAAGCAAGUCAAGUGGAGGUCACACAGGAACCACAACUUUAAAGAAAAACUGUACAAAAAUAUCACUAGAUAAAGUAGAUAAAAAACACUCACCCAGAAGGUAAAGCAUAACAUUACAAAUAAAAUACCUACUACAAAAAGGAUGUGGCUUUAUGGGUUAUGUCUAAUACUGAGAAGUAAGCUCUGUGGUAAUAAGACUGAGGAACCCAGGGAAGAAAUGAAAACUGGAAGGUGUAUGGAGAAGUAAAGCUUUGUGUGUCAUUGAUAAAAAUGACAGCUGCCUAGAGAUAAGGAAAUACCACUGUUCAGGUAUUCAAAAGCUGAAAUAAUCCUGUAGAGGCAAAAAGGCAGAGUAUUUUCCAUAUAAAGGUGUGUAGGCAAAGCAAGCUUGAGACAAACCAUUCAAGAGAAGUGUAUUCCAGCACAAUACCUAACCUGCUGAGCCACAAAACUUGCUGGCAACAAUUCAUAAAACAAACAAUCUUGAAACUGAUCUGAUAGUAAAAAUAUCAAGAUAAUGACUUUAACUAUUGAAAGUCAAGCACAAUAAAACCACCAACAAUCCUGUAACCUCAACAUCACAGAUAUGCCUUCUAUAAAAAAAAAAAAAAAAAAAAAAAAAAAAAAAGGACAACUCAACUUUUUUAUUACCCACAGUUAACUAUAUUUUGUCUGGCUGGAACACAAAGGGUCAACUGAAGAACACCUGCACUCCUACAGAAACGAGUAUCACACAACAUGCGGCAACACAACGUACACUUACCUCGGAUGACUCUGGCCUUGUGUAGUCAGGAGUGCUCCGUUCCCGGCAGCAUGUUGUGCCGAACCGUGCCAUACACUAUUUGGUUCUCCUCGCUGGUGAUCCGUGAAGUAUUACUGAGGGAGGAAGACACUGCAGUCAGUCGGUACUUCAACACACCAUAUUCCCUUUAUAUGGAGACUUAUUAGUACUACACAGCAUUCAGCUAUCAAACCAACACAUAAUCACCUUGAAUGGUCCCUCUCUGAAUGGCUCCAGUUGGCUGUGUGGGGGCAUGGCAUCCUGGUGGGCUGUCUCAGACUCUAUGCUACCCUGUCCCUGGGAGCCUCUGUGUCCUUUACCCUUGGUGCCCUUGUUCCGGCGCCGACCCUUGCGUCUCCUGCCUCGGGAUCCCUUGUUAGACUUGGUCUUCCUCACCGGCCACUCUGCUGCUGGAAGGAUAAGAAGUCACAAUGAAAGGAAUAUUUAUGUAUCACCAAUGAACAAAAUUUUUAUGUGA